rnacentral:rRNA from 1 species
ACAGCUCAAAUUUGAAAUCUGGCCUCGGCCCGAGUUGUAAUUUGCAGAGGAUGCUUUUGGUGCGGUGCCUUCCGAGUUCCCUGGAACGGGACGCCACAGAGGGUGAGAGCCCCGUAUGGUCGGACACCAAUCCUGUGUAAAGCUCCUUCGACGAGUCGAGUAGUUUGGGAAUGCUGCUCUAAAUGGGAGGUAAAUCUCUUCUAAAGCUAAAUACUGGCCAGAGACCGAUAGCGCACAAGUAGAGUGAUCGAAAGAUGAAAAGCACCUUGAAAAGGGGGUUAAACAGUACGUGAAAUUGUUGAAAGGGAAGCACUUGUGACCAGACUUGGGCCGGGCGGCUCAUCAGGGGUUCUCCCCUGUGCAUUCCGCCCGGUACAGGCCAGCAUCGGUUCUUACCGGGGGAUAAGAACGGCAGGAACGUGGCUCCCUCUCGGGGGAGUGUUAUAGCCUGCCGUACGAUACCCUGGCGGGGACCGAGGUUCGCGCUUCCGCAAGGAUGCUGGCGUAAUGGUUACUAGUGACCCGUCUUGAAACACGGACCAAGGAGUCGUCCAUUAGAGCGAGCGUUUGGGUGUAAAACCCGCACGCGUAAUGAAAGUGAAAUUAGGUGAGAGCUUCGGCGCAUCAUCGACCGAUCCUGAUGUUCUCGGAUGGAUUUGAGUAAGAGUUUUAACGGACGGACCCGAAAGACAGUGAACUAUGCUUGUAUAGGGUGAAGCCAGAGGAAACUCUGGUGGAGGCUCGCAGCGGUUCUGACGUGCAAAUCGAUCGUCAAAUAUGAGCAUGGGGGCGAAAGACUAAUCGAACUGUCUAGUAGCUGGUUACCGCCGAAGUUUCCCUCAGGAUAGCAGUGUUGAC